CAGCCUGGAGACCAACCGUAACCCUAAUUGCUGAGAGAAGACUAUCCUGAGAUGCUGGAGGAUUUCUGGAGGAGAUAUGAAAAUACGGAGAGAAGCUUGACGUCUAGAUCUCUUUGGAAUGCUCCUUGCUGAGGUUCUUCAGUCGAAAGGUGCGAUAACCAUCAAUCAGCUGUCAAUCGGUCAGUCUCAGAAGUGAUGAAAAGGAAAGGACGGAACAAUCCCCUCACCUCGGAUACCUACACCGGGGGAGGGACGGAGCCAAAACACGGAGGCUGGAGCCGGCAGGACGGGAUUCGGAGCGCAGAUGCGCGCAGAGAGAUGAGAGGACCGACCGGCGAGCGGGGAGAGCAGUGCGGCCUGGCCGGGAUCAGCGCACCGGAGAGCGGAUACACACCCGGGGAUUACCGCGCUGGAGGAGAUGAACCGCGCCGGAGCGCAACUCACGGAAACUGAAGCGGCACUUAAAACUUUUUGAAGGAUAAAAACCUGCAAAAUGUUGAAGAUGCGCGCACAAGGUCUGUAGAGGGUCUGUAAUUCCCGGAUGGAGGAGGCUCGCUGGUGCAGAUGAUGAACCUGUAACAGGUGGAACGACACGAUGGAAGUUUUAAACGGCUGUAAAGACCAGGAAGAAGAACCCGGUCUGACCUGAAGAUAAAAAAGAAUCCUCGUCUCUCACGUGGCUGAUGUGAGCCUGUACAGACUGAUCUGAUCCCUUUACACCCAUUCAACAUUCCCUCACCUGUUACCUGUUCACUUGCGUAUUAUGGGAUGUUUCAGCAUGACGGAACGUCAAUAUUCCAUAAACAUUUACUCUUUUUUUGCCUCUGUCCCAACUUUUUUUGGAAGGUCCAGUGUCCUGCACCUCAGCCCCACUCAGCAGCUCUGGGAUAAACCGGAACAUCAAUUGAGCAUCAGUGCACAGCCAUACAAAUGCUGCCAUCUUUUGACUGAAUGGGCACAAAUUCCCACAGACGUGCUUCAAAGUCUUGUGAGAAGAUAGCAUAGAGGUCACUUUGAAAUGGGACAUUCAACAAGCUCAUAUUCAGAAGAACCGGAGCGUGAAUCAGUGUGAUGAGGGUGAACAUUCGCACCUCACGAUGGGUCUGCUGGAUCUACCACAGCUGAAUCAAGCUUAAUCAGCCUAAACCUGAGAAAGUCCAAUACACAGCCAAAUCUACAGCGUUCUCAUCCUCAGCUACACUCCUCAGCUACACACCUCAGCUUCAGCUCAUGGACAGAUGACCUUCCAUUCUUCUCCAGAAUGUUCUGAUAGAAAACAGAAUUCAUCCUUUGUGUCUACAGGGAUUGGUUCCAGAACCCCUCUUCCCCAAAAGCCCUCAAUUCCAAAAUCAGUGAACGCUUAUAUGAAGCCCCUUAUAUAAAAUAGUGAAGCAGAUGACUUAUACUCCACCAUACACUGUAAACAAGACACGAGGGAACGGCUGUAUGAUGAUGAUGAUAAUUGUUUUUUCUGGAUUUUUUGUGAGCCAGGUGAGAAACAUAAACAGGACAGCUGGACUCUUGAGCCUGGUUUCAUCCGCUUGGAGAGCAUGGCUCUCGCUGUGGUCUGGUGGAGUCCAGGCUCUUAGGAAUGGCUUUGUAACCCUUCCAUACCUCCAUAAAAGCCUUUUAGCGUGGUGUUAAUGUUAAUUAACCGACUGUAAUGAACAAAUUGAUUCAUCUGAUUCGUUUUUGUUUAAAAGUAAUAAAUUGAAGUGAUUCAAUUAGUUGAUCCGCACUCGACGAUUCCUAUAUCGCAGUUAAUAUCAAGUUCUGUUUAUUUAUUUUAAAAAAAAUAAAUGAGGGAUGUUAAGAAUGAA